CAUUACCGUGCUCCAGCUUCUGAUCUCCUCGCUGUUCGUGCUUGCCAUCAUCAUCGAAGUGGAGCUGUGCCAUUCCUGUCCCACCAGACUUACAAUUUCUUCUUUCCUUUCUGCUUGAAACUGCCGAGAUUUUCCCCCUUCCUCUGUCCAUAUGAUCUUGCAAGAAUUCAAACUUUCCUCUCCCUUCACCUUCGUCUCUCUCUGUCCAUCGUUGGUAACUGGAGGAAAACGCCGAAAUCCUCCUCCUUCGAAGGUGCUGUGGCAUGCGCGCAUCGGGUUUCUCCCUCCCCUGUUCUUCACCGUGAACUUCUCUUCAUCUGCUCCCUCUGUUUGAGCUGCUGUGACUUAGAGCAUCAGGAUAUUUCAAAGAGGAGAAAUUUGCUUGAGGUGGCAAGAGGUGAUUUUUGAAUUUUGGAAAUACUUCAGCAAGUACCAUCACAGACCAAACAGAAACCAUAAACAUGAAGCGAAAUCAUGAAGACGGAUUAACCAGAUUGUGAGUGGACAGAGUAUGG